rfam:Thiovulum sp. ES ThvES_contig00024.24, whole genome shotgun sequence.
UUUAUGGAGAGUUUGAUCCUGGCUCAGAGUGAACGCUGGCGGCGUGCCUAACACAUGCAAGUCGAACGGUAACAGGUCUUUCGGGAUGCUGACGAGUGGCGCACGGGUGAGUAAUGGAUAGUUACAUGCCCCUUGGAGAGGGACAACAGUUGGAAACGACUGCUAAUACCUCAUAUUCCGGAAACGGGAAACGAUUUUUCGCCAAGGGAUUGGGCUAUCUCCUAUCAGCUUGUUGGUAAGGUAAAGGCUUACCAAGGCAAUGACGGGUAGCUGGUUUGAGAGGAUGAUCAGCCACACUGGAACUGAGACACGGUCCAGACUCCUACGGGAGGCAGCAGUGGGGAAUAUUGCACAAUGGGGGAAACCCUGAUGCAGCAACGCCGCGUGGAGGAUGACGCAUUUCGGUGUGUAAACUCCUUUUAUUAGAGAAGAUUAUGACGGUAUCUAAUGAAUAAGCAUCGGCUAACUCCGUGCCAGCAGCCGCGGUAAUACGGAGGAUGCAAGCGUUACUCGGAAUCACUGGGCGUAAAGAGAAUGUAGGCGGACUAUUAAGUUUUGAGUGAAAGCCUGUGGCUUAACCAUGGAACUGCUUGAAAAACUGAUAGUCUAGAGUUCGGAAGGGGCAGAUGGAAUUUCCAGUGUAGGGGUAAAAUCCGUAGAUAUUGGAAGGAAUACCAAAAGCGAAGGCGAUCUGCUGGGACGAUACUGACGCUGAGAUUCGAAAGCAUGGGGAGCAAACAGGAUUAGAUACCCUGGUAGUCCAUGCCCUAAACGAUGAAUGCUAGUCGUCGGAGAGCUAAUGUCUCUUCGGUGAUGCACUUAACAGAUUAAGCAUUCCGCCUGGGGAGUACGGUCGCAAGAUUAAAACUCAAAGGAAUAGACGGGGACCCGCACAAGUGGUGGAGCAUGUGGUUUAAUUCGAAGAUACGCGAAAAACCUUACCUACCCUUGACAUUGAUAGAAUUUCGCAGAGAUGUGAAAGUACCCUUCGGGGAACUUGAAAACAGGUGCUGCACGGCUGUCGUCAGCUCGUGUCGUGAGAUGUUGGGUUAAGUCCCGCAACGAGCGCAACCCUCGUCCUUAUUUGCCAUCAGUUUGGCUGGGAACUAUAAGGAGACUGCCCUCGUAAGGGGGAGGAAGGUGAGGACGACGUCAAGUCAUCAUGGCCCUUACGGGUAGGGCUACACACGUGCUACAAUGGUAUAUACAGAGAGCCGCAAUACUGCAAAGUGGAGCUAAUCUUUAAAAUAUAUCUCAGUUCGGAUUGUUCUCUGCAACUCGAGAGCAUGAAGCUGGAAUCACUAGUAAUCGCGAAUCAGAAUGUCGCGGUGAAUACGUUCCCGGGUCUUGUACUCACCGCCCGUCACACCAUGGGAGUUGAUUUCACCCGAAAUCGGGAAGCUAAACUGGCUACCGCUUACGGUGGAAUCAGCGACUGGGGUGAAGUCGUAACAAGGUAACCGUAGGAGAACCUGCGGUUGGAUUACCUCCUUU